rnacentral:rRNA from 1 species
GACGAACGCUGGCGGCGUGCCUAAUACAUGCAAGUCGAGCGCAGGAAACUGACGGAACUCUUCGGAGGGAAGGCAGUGGAAUGAGCGGCGGACGGGUGAGUAACACGUAAGGAACCUGCCUCAAGGAUCGGGAUAACUCCGAGAAAUCGGAGCUAAUACCGGAUAGUUCAACGGACCGCAUGGUCCGCUGAUGAAAGGCGCUUCGGCGUCACCUUGAGCUGGCCUUGCGGUGCAUUAGCUAGUUGGUGGGGUAACGGCCCACCAAGGCGACGAUGCAUAGCCGACCUGAGAGGGUGAUCGGCCACACUGGGACUGAGACACGGCCCAGACUCCUACGGGAGGCAGCAGUAGGGAAUCUUCCACAAUGGACGAAAGUCUGAUGGAGCAACGCCGCGUGAGUGAUGAAGGUUUUCGGAUCGUAAAACUCUGUUGUAAGGGAAGAACACGUACGAGAGGAAAUGCUCGUACCUUGACGGUACCUUACGAGAAAGCCACGGCUAACUACGUGCCAGCCGCCGCCGUAACAC